CAUAAUAUCUGUCCGACUGACGUGGUAUUCUAUCGGAUCUUUUUAAUGGUGCCUCUACUAGUUUCAGAUUCGAUUCACCAAUCGAAUCCAGUUUUGUAUGUGUUAGUCCUUCCACCUCAUGAGCUUCAUCAGGCAUUAGCUCCUUCACCAAGAAAGGUCUUUUCCAAAAAGACUGUCCGGCUACUAACAAAUAUCUUUUGUUCUGUAGCG
rnacentral:lncRNA from 1 species